rnacentral:rRNA from 1 species
AUUGAACGCUGGCGGCAUGCCUUACACAUGCAAGUCGAACGGUAACAGGUCUUCGGAUGCUGACGAGUGGCGAACGGGUGAGUAAUACAUCGGAACGUGCCCGAUCGUGGGGGAUAACGAGGCGAAAGCUUUGCUAAUACCGCAUACGAUCUACGGAUGAAAGCGGGGGAUCUUCGGACCUCGCGCGGACGGAGCGGCCGAUGGCAGAUUAGGUAGUUGGUGGGAUAAAAGCUUACCAAGCCGACGAUCUGUAGCUGGUCUGAGAGGAUGAUCAGCCACACUGGGACUGAGACACGGCCCAGACUCCUACGGGAGGCAGCAGUGGGGAAUUUUGGACAAUGGGCGAAAGCCUGAUCCAGCCAUGCCGCGUGCAGGAUGAAGGCCUUCGGGUUGUAAACUGCUUUUGUACGGAACGAAAAGCCUCCUUCUAAUAAAGAGGGGUCAUGACGGUACCGUAAGAAUAAGCACCGGCUAACUACGUG